rnacentral:lncRNA from 1 species
AUGGGAAUAAAGGGCGCCCCACCAGCGUCCUCCAAUUUCCCGCUAUUCAGCUCAGACCUGAGUAGCAGCAGGCAGCCGAAAGGAUUUGCAGCUCUCUCCCAAAACAGCCCUCUUGGCCACCUCCCGCUUCCCACAUGGGCAAAGUCAGGACCACACCUGAGAAGGAGCCAAUUGGAGAAGACCCACCUUGGACCCUUCCUGGAGGAGAGGCAGUUCCCUGGCUGCCAGCACAAAGGCCAGGGCUGGGCCAACGUGCCUGCAAGAGGCCUGAUUUCUUCCUGGAGACUGAAGAGCCUGGGGAUACAACCACAGCUCCCCUCCCCCAGAGCCACCUCACACCCACUGGCCUCCCUGCUCCCCGGAGGGCAAGGGCUGCAGGGACCCAGAGCGAGCACGAAUGUGGUUUCCUCUCAGCCUCACCCCCCAGAGACUUCCGCUGGGCUGUGGCCAACCUGGGCGGAGAUGUCAGCCUCCUCAGGAAGCCUCCUGCUCCGAGGGAGAGAGACAGACAAGCUGACAGUCAGUGGGGCAGGACACAAGGCCACGCCCCUUCCACCGGAGGCAGCAGGUGGGGAGACCCAGGAGAGAAGAGCGGCCGGAGAGGCUGAGGUCAGCAGCCACUUGGCUCUGGAAGCAGCUGCAGAUGUGUGGCCACACCAGCACCAGGGGACCCUAUUCUGCAUCUAUGCUGGGCUGGAAGACUGCAAAACCACUUGGCAGAAGACAUAAAUGAGAAAUCCUGUACCAAGUAAGGAUGAAAAGAAGAAUUGGAAACAAGUAUGCAAUCGGCCACCAACUAUCGAAUGGAAGCAAUAAAAAAGAACUCAACCAGGGCCGGGGAUUUAGCCCAAUGGUUCUGCCGCCUGCCUUGCAAGUGCAAGGAUCCAAGUUCGAUCCCUGGUACCAAAAAAAAAUUGUUUGUGCAAAAAGAACUCAACCAGGGCCGGGGAUUUAGCCCAAUGGUUCUGCCGCCUGCCUUGCAAGUGCAAGGAUCCAAGUUCGAUCCCUGGUACCAAAAAAAAAUUGUUUGUGCAAAAAGAACUCAACCCUACCCAUGCUCAUGCCUACACACUCUCGCACACCUUCCCUCUCUCUCCCUCAGAGGGACUCAGUUCCAAGGUGUGAAUACACCAAGUCUGCCCUCCUCAGGGCUGCCGUGCAUGUCAGAUGAGAAGAUGCAGGGAUGGUGCCUGCAGACGUGAACACACUCCACGCAUGUGGAUGAAGUAUCACUUGACCCCAAUUCUUCUCUCAGGGAGAAGGAAGCUCCUGCUGGGUCCUGAAGCUUCUUAGUUUUCUAGUUAGUUUCCUUUUGUUCCUCUCCAAAGCUCUGCUUACCCAGGAGAAUAAUGUCAACACUUAUGAUGCCAUUUUAAUCAUCCCAGGGGCAUUGAUCAUUAUUAUGAAUCCCAAAAUAGCUGAGCUAUUCAUGUUUGACAGUGCGAUCAUGCAGGGCUAUACAUCAUGGAACCUUCAAUGGAGGAUAUGCCUUGGUUUUCCAUGCACCUUCUCAUCUGUCGUCUCACAGAGAGGAGGUAUUCUCCCGAUUAUAGGGGUCCAAAACCAGGGGCCAAGGUGGGUCUGAUCACUCACCAGCUGGAGGACUGUGCUGGAAGGAUGGGCGCAGGUCCCUUCUCUGUUUCAGCAUGAGAUUUGCACACUGAGGGAAGUGUACGGCACCCCCCCACACACACACACACACACACACUGUGGGCUCCAUCUUUUCUCCCUAGCAUUGAGGUUUAAGGUUCCCACCUCCUUCCCAGCCCUGUUUCCUGGUCCCACCACCUCCUCCCCUGGGUCUUGCUCAACAAUGACCUUUUGGCAUCUCUGCCUCUCCCUCUGCACAGCUUCCACCUUGCCUCCCUGACAGGUGUGUUCAUGCCCCGACCACAUACCACCUGCUCCAGACGGACGCCCUCUCUGUUGCCCUCCCUGGCUCAGAUGCUCCUGAAAGCAGAGUCCGGGAUCCAGGCCUAGGGACAGGCACAAACUUAAGUAUCUACAUGGGUUGAAUUGUGUCCUCCCCAAGGCUAUGCUCAAGGUCUAACCUCUCAUUCCUGUGGAUGGAUCUUACUUAGGAAGAGGACCAAGUCCAGAGGAGCUCCCAUAGUGCUUCAGUGGGCUCUAACCCACUGAUGGACUUCCUUAAAAGAAGGAAGAUUUGGACCCAGAAACACUUCGGGAGACCACAAAGGCCUCAUAUUGGAGUAAUGUAUCUAUAAGCCCAAGCAUAAAAAGGAUUGCCAGCAUCACCUGGAAGCCAGUAGAGAGGUCUGGCCCUGACUCUCCCAAGAGCCUUCGGAGGGAACCACCCCUGCCAACACCUUGACUUUGGACUUUACCCUCCAGAACUGGGAGAGAAUUCGAAUGUCAUUUUAAGCGACUCUUGUCUGUUGGGAUUUGUUGCUGCAGCCACAAAGCCCAAACACAGUGUCCACCUCCUUAGGGCUUCUACACUCUCCUAAAAGAAGUGAGGCUGUGGUCACCUGCAUCCAGUUCUUUUGCAUGCAUUGUUACAAGGACAGCUGUGGCCCUGUGGAGCCAGCCCAAAUCCCAGCCCUCUGAGGGCAGGCGCCUUGUGUCCGAAACAGGAGCACCUCAACAACCAAGCACUGAUGUCAGCACCCAGGUUCCAGCACUCAGCAUCAUAAUCAGAAGAGACCAACACCUUGCUGGGCACGCUGACCGGACUCCACCAAUGCUAUUUCCCAGCCUGCAGACCACUCUGCCUGUCUCAGAUCACAGCCACUAAUGGGGUAGGGUGAGCGUCUACAUCCAUCCUGCACACAGCAGGGGCUUAGUGUCCCUCCUGCCCUUCCCAAUGGGGAAGCAGGGACAGGGACAGACGGUGCUCCCAGGAACACUGCUAACCAAGACAUAGCCUCAUCACUGUGUGUCCCACUUGCCUGUCCCCUCUGCUCCAGAAGAAACCUCCUCACUCCUCACCAAGCCUUCCGCUGCCCUUCCGGUUACCUGCUGCCCCUUAACUCCAUCCAGAGAGCCCAUUUCAUACAUUCAUUCAUUCAACAAGCCCAUGCUGGGCACUCAGGCUGCGCCUGACACCACACUACUCCCAGGGAGCCCUUGAUGACAAAGACACUGUUCCUGGCACAACUCUAAGAAAGAGACAUGGGCCUUGGAGUGAUGGGAGAAACCCAAAACCAUGCCCAUGUCCCCACAAGCUUCCAGCCCACCUCUUCCCCUGCCACCCCCCAGAGAGCUCUGUCCGUCCAAGUCCCAAAAUACACAUUGGCACAUAUUGCUGGGGACAUCAUUUUACUUAAAAAUGGGAGGGGGAGCUGGGUAAAAUGUUGCGUAUCUGAAGUCCCAGCUACUUGGGAAGCUGAGAUGGGGGAUUGCAAGUUAAAAGUCAGCCUGGGCAUCUUAGCAAGACCCCUGCCUCAAGAUAAAAUUUUAACAGGGCUAGGGUGGAAGCUCAGUGCUAGAGCACUUGCCUGAGAUGCUCAAGGCCCAAGGCCCCGAGUUCAAUGCCCAGCACCGGGGUGUGUGUGUGUGUGUGUGUGUGUGUGUUAGGGAGGGGGUUAAUUUAAAUCAUUCAAUCAGUAAGCAAUCCAAAACAUUAACUG